GGGGCCCCCCGCGGACCAAACAAUCACUCUUGCAUCUUUGCGUCGGAGUCAGAAAAGUAAAUGAAAGCAAAACUUUCAACAACGGAUCUCUUGGUUCUGGCAUCGAUGAAGAACGCAGCGAAAUGCGAUAAGUAAUGUGAAUUGCAGAAUUCAGUGAAUCAUCGAAUCUUUGAACGCACAUUGCGCCCUUUGGUAUUCCGAAGGGCAUGCCGGUUCGAGCGUCAUUUCACCAAUCAAGCCUGGCUUGGUGUUGGGCCCCGGGGUGACCCGGCCCCCAAUGUCCGCCGGCCGGACGACCCGGAUCUCAGCGUUGUGGUAUUAAUUCGCUGGUGAGAGGGGGCGGCCGCGCCGUGAGAAUCAUCAUUAAUAAAGGUUGACCUCGGAUCGGGUAGGGAUACCC
rnacentral:rRNA from 1 species